UAAUGUUUAAUAUGUACAGCUUUUAGGUA
rnacentral:piRNA from 1 species